GAUGAACGCUAGCGGCAGGCCUAAUACAUGCAAGUCGAGGGGCAGCACGGGUAGCAAUACUUGGUGGCGACCGGCGCACGGGUGCGUAACACGUAUACAAUCUGCCUUUAACAGGGGGAUAGCCCGGAGAAAUCCGGAUUAAUACCCCAUAACAAAUUGACUGGCAUCAGUUGAUUUUGAAAGCUCCGGCGGGUAGAGAUGAGUAUGCGUCUGAUUAGCUAGAUGGUGAGGUAACGGCUCACCAUGGCGACGAUCAGUAGGGGAUCUGAGAGGAUUAACCCCCACACGGAUACUGAGACACGGAUCCGACUCCUACGGGAGGCAGCAGUAAGGAAUAUUGGACAAUGCCCGCAAGGGUGAUCCAGCCAUGCCGCGUGCAGGAAGACGGCCCUAUGGGUUGUAAACUGCUUUUACACCGGAGAAAACCUUCCCUCGUGAGGGGAGCUGAUGGUAUGGUGAGAAUAAGCAUCGGCUAACUUCGUGCCAGCCGCCGCAGUAA
rnacentral:rRNA from 1 species